rnacentral:rRNA from 1 species
CGUGCCUAACACAUGCAAGUCGAACGGGAAGCCGAUUUCGGUCGGCAGAGAGUGGCGCAUGGGACACCCAUUUCAAUGGCUGAACAUAGCGAGUCCGGGUGCGUAACAGGUAGCUUAGCUGCCCCAGAGAGAAGGAUAACUCACGGAAACGUGGGCUAAUACUUCAUAAGCUCACGGUCUCUAGAGGACUGUGAGAAAACGCUCAGGUGCUUUGGGAGGGGGCUGCGGCCCAUCAGCUAGUUGGCGAGGUAACAGCUCACCAAGGCGACGACGGGUAGGGGGCCUGAGAGGGUGGCCCCCCACACUGGGACUGAGACACGGCCCAGACUCCUACGGGAGGCAGCAGUGAGGGAUAUUGCGCAAUGGACGAAAGUCUGACGCAGCGACGCCGCGUGGGUGAUGAAGGUUUUCGAAUCGUAAAGCCCUUUUCUGCGUGACGAUAAUGACGGUAGCGCAGGAAAAAGUGUCGGCUAACUACGUGCCAGCAGCCGCGGUAAAACGUAGGACGCAAACGUUAUCCGGAAUUACUGGGCGUAAAGGGCGCGCAGGCGGGACGGUAAGUGAGGCAUGAAAGCUCCCUGGCUAAACCGGGAGAGGAUGUCUGAGACUGCCGACCUAGAGUAAGGUAGAGGGGUGUGGAAUUCCGCGUGUAGUGGUGAAAUGCGUAGAGAUGCGGAGGAACACCAGUGGCGAAGGCGGCACCCUGGACCUUAACUGACGCUGAGGCGCGAAAGCAUGGGGAGCGAACGGGAUUAGAAACCCCGGUAGUCCAUGCCGUAAACGAUGUGCACUCGAUGUUCGUCCCGCACUGCGGGGGGAGUGUCUAAGCAAACGCGUUAAGUGCACCGCCUGGGGAGUACGGUCGCAAGGCUAAAACUCAAAGGAAUUGACGGGGGCCCGCACAAGCAGCGGAGCGUGUGGUUUAAUUCGAGGCUACACGAAGAACCUUACCUGGGUUUGACAUCGCGGUGG